rnacentral:rRNA from 1 species
AUACGGAGGGUGCAAGCGUUAUCCGGAAUCACUGGGUUUAAAGGGUGCGUAGGCGGCCUGGUAAGUCAGAGGUGAAAUACACGAGCUUAACUGGUGAAUUGCCUUUGAAACUAUCAAGCUAGAAUUAUGUAGAGGUCAGCGGAAUGAGUCAUGUAGCGGUGAAAUGCAUAGAUAUGACUUAGAACACCAAUUGCGUAGGCAGCUGGCUAGGCAUUAAUUGACGCUGAGGCACGAAAGCGUGGGGAGCGAACAGGAUUAGAAACCCUAGUAGUCC